rnacentral:misc_RNA from 1 species
GGACAAGUCAAAACGUCAUUCUUAGCUGAGGUUGAAACUAUUGGCAGCAUACAUCAUGUAAACUUGGUGCAAUUGAUUGGCUUCUGCGCUGAGAAAUCUCAUAGGCUUUUAGUAUACGAGUGCAUGAGCAACGGAUCACUAGAAAAAUGGAUCUACCACGGGAAACAGGAGCAAACUCUAGACUGGAACUGCAGGAGGAAGAUUAUUCAAGACAUAGCCAAAGGAUUAGCCUACCUUCACGAAGAAUGUAGGCAAAAGAUUCUGCAUUUGGAUAUUAAGCCCCCAAACAUACUCCUGGAUGAGAAGUACAAUGCUAAACUCGCUGAUUUUGGGCUUUCAAAGCUAAUUGAUCGGAAUCAGAGCCAAGUCAUGACUCAGAUGAGAGGCACUCCUGGUUAUUUGGCUCCUGAAUGGCUUAGUGGAGUUAUAACAGAGAAGGUAGAUGUCUACAGCUUUGGCAUUGUGAUCUUGGAAAUUUU